rnacentral:rRNA from 1 species
UUGAACGCUGGCGGCAUGCCUUACACAUGCAAGUCGAACGGCAGCACGGGAGCAAGUCCUGGUGGCGAGUGGCGAACGGGUGAGUAAUAUAUCGGAACGUGCCCAGUCGUGGGGGAUAACGUAGCGAAAGCUACGCUAAUACCGCAUACGAUCUAAGGAUGAAAGCGGGGGGAUUCGCAAGAACCUCGCGCGAUUGGAGCGGCUGAUAUCAGAUUAGGUUGUUGGUGAGGUAAAAGCUCACCAAGCCGACGAUCUGUAGCUGGUUUGAGAGAACGACCAGCCACACUGGGACUGAGACACGGCCCAGACUCCUACGGGAGGCAGCAGUGGGGAAUUUUGGACAAUGGGCGAAAGCCUGAUCCAGCAAUGCCGCGUGCAGGAAGAAGGCCUUCGGGUUGUAAACUGCUUUUGUACGGAACGAAAAGGCUCUUUCUAAUAAAGAGGGCCCAUGACGGUACCGUAAGAAUAAGCACCGGCUAACUACGUG